UUGAUCUGAGUCCUACUGUUCUGGCCUUGGUCGUCUCCAACAUCGUUCUGGGGAUAGUGACCCUUCUACUUGUCUGGGCGCUGUGCAAGACUCGGAACAGAGAUAGCAGAGGGAGGACAGAUGUCCCAACAUCCCAGGGCAAUCAGAAUCAAGACAGUGACGUGUUGAACUAUGCAGCUGUGAGUUUCACCCCCAAGAAGAACUCCUCCUCCUCUAGAAGAGCAAGAGAGAAGACCAGCAGAGAGGAUGCAGUGUACUCUGAGGUCAGAUAUCUGCAGCAGCAGUGAAAGAUAU